GACUAAACUGCUUUAAUUAAGAAAUUUAAAAGUACAGUGGCUUUGUUAAAAAGUAGAAUUUGCCCCUCUAAACAUUCCAGAGGAUGUGCAGUCCCGGCUGACAGGGUGGCUCUGCUCCACAUGGUCAGAAAGCAACAUAGGAACCAUAUUGUUGUCCUAUCACCUCUAACGAUGUUGUCUUUAUUUGAUAAUGGUCUCAAGUUUGUCUCUUUGUAUUUGAGGGAGACAAAUUUCCAAAGCCCUGUAUAUCCAAGUCCACUGGGCUACUGCCAGUUCCUCACACUCCAUCUUUCAGCCUUCUUGGCAAGGCAUCUGGAAAAGUAUUUAAAAAGUACUUUUGUUGUUUUACCUCCUGCUAACAAUACUACAAUUGUAAUCAUGUGUUUCUACCACAGACUUCGCCAACCCCAAUGCAUCGCACCUCUCAUUGCAUGUGAAUGAUGGCUCCUGUUCUAUUCUCUCACCUUCCAACUCCAUGAAGUCCAUGCCAGCUGGCUGGUUGCUAAGAAAACUAAUUGAUAGUUUCCAAGAAGGACCUCAAGGAAACCUCAGAUUGGCCAAGGAUCACUAUAAGAAGUAAGAGCAUCAAUUUAGGAUCCUUUUCAUUUCACUUACCUUCCUCCAGUUGUUACAGCUUCAUGAAUCACACUAAGAACAUAUUAUUUAUUCUUUAUUCCAGUUAUCUCCCUAAAAGAAACCUAAGUAGGGUGAACAUAUGGAUCAUAUAAGACAAGUAACGAAGCCAUGGCAAACUCCAGUACUAAAGUCACUGGGCAGGGAAAGUCCUGAAGGAGUGAUAGUGGGGACCACCUCUCUUCAAAAUACUUUUCAGUGGGAUAAAUUCAUUUACUAAGGCAGAAGUUCUCAAAAUAUGUGUGGUCCCUGGACCAGCAGCAUAAGCAUCAUUGGGGAACUUGCUAGAAAUACCAAUUCUCAGGCCCCAACACUGUCCUGAGUUUGAGUCGUAAACUCAGGGAGUAGGGUCAAGCAAUCUAUGUUUUAACAAGCCCUCCAGGUGACUGACUCAAGCUAAAAAGUGUGAAAACUACUAUACUUAACAAAUCUUGGCAAACUUCAUGCCAUUCCAUCUUCAGCAAAGGUCUUGGACAUAACAUCCAAACUGAUUAUUCCAUUGUUUCAUUCCAGACUCAGAAAGAAGCCACAGCCUCUGCUAGAUUUUUGGCUGUACACACCACUGUCUCAGGGGAUCUCUCUGUAACACAUUAACGGGUCAUCUUCUCUUAUUGCCUUUGCUUCUCAUUCCUGACCCAAGUCAGAGGUUGUCUGUCAGACUUGGUUUGAGCCUCUCUGGCCAAACACUGUAUCUAAUGAAUGGAUAAACAAAAUGUAGUAUAUAUGUACAACGAAAUAUUAUUCAAUCAUAAAAGAAGUGCAGUUGUUAUAUGUUACCACACAAAUGAACCUUGAAAACAUGCUAAGUGAAAGAAACCAGACACAAAAGACCACAUAUUGUAUGGUUCAUUUAAUGAAAUGUCUGGAAUAGACAAAUAGAUACAAAAAGUAGUUUAGUAGUUACCAAGGGAUGAGGAAGGGGAGAAUACGGACUAACUGCUAAUAGGUAUGGGGUUUCUUUCUAGGGUGAUGGAAAUGUUCUUGAAGUAUGUAGUGGUGAUAGUUGCUCACCAUAGUCAAUAUACUGAAAUAGACAUGCAAAAUGUUGAAUUCCAUGUUAUAUAAAGUAUAUAUCUCAAUUUUUACAUGCUAUAAAAGAAAAAAAUGUUGUGUUAAAUAUUGUACUUGGGUUCAAAAUAUAUGAGUCCUAGCAAUUGCUGAACAGCAAUCCAUGUGAAAAUAACGUGGGAUUUUUAGUUAACUGGAGCCUAAACGAGAUCAUUUUGCAAUCUGACUACUGAGAAUGCUAAGUUGAUCUUUGAUUGCAAUCGACAGUGUUCCAGUUAAGGAAGAAGGUAGUCAUUCUUUCUGCUAUGUUCACCAGAGUGAACCAUUUCUAGGGUCUUGGAUUCAGUUAUGAGCAUUUAAGAAUGUUUACAAAAUUCAGCAGUAAAAAGAAAUGAAGACAGGCCACAUGGCGCUGUGGCAGGCGGCAGGGCCUAGGUGGUUGAGGCAGCUGAGUAGCAGACAUGCACACCACAAAGCGUGGUGAUGGAACAGUAACUGGGCUUGUGAGAGGGCUCUACAGCAUAAACUAGGAGAUAAAAUCCACGGAUUCACCAUAAACCAGGUGACAUCUGGUCCUGAGCUGUUUCUGACUGCAGUGAACCUCAGCCGUGAUGACACAGGAGCCAGAUAUUUAAACCUGGCCAGAGAAGACACAAAUAAUCUGUUCAGCAUGCAAUUCUGCACUACUCCUAUGGACAGCACCAGUGUUUCUCACAUUCUUUAGCAUACCAUCCUUCGUGGGUCUCAGAAAUAUCCAUGCAGAGACCCUUUCUUCAAAAUGUUGAACUGGUCCCUAUCCACUUUCAUAAACCCCUCCACAGUGAUUAUACUCUGUAUCCAUUUUCCACACAAAAUCCCAAGGACUUUCAGAAUCUCAUCUCAGUGUAUUUGGAUGCUGCCUUUUUCCCAUGUUUACCAGAGCUGGAUUUCUGGCAGGAAGGUCUGAAUGACCCCCAGAUGCCCUUGGUCUUUAAAGGAGUCUGCUUUAAUAAGGUGAAGGGAGCAUUUACAGACAAUGAGAGGAUAUUCUCCCAUCACCUUCAGAAGAGACUUCUUCCAGACCACACUUACUCAGUGGUCUCUGGGGGUGAUCCAUUGUGCAUACUGGAGCUUACAUGGGGGCAACUUAAGCAAUUUCAUGCCACUCACUAUCACUUAAGCUAUGCUAGGUUAUUCACGCAUGGUAAUUUUCUGUUAGAACAGCAUCUGAAACAAAUUCAUGAGGAAGCACUGAGCAAAUUUCAGAAAAUUGAACCGAGCACUGCAGUGGAAUUCCAGAUAACAUGUAGCCCAUAUUCAUUUUCUGCAGAUCCCUCUAAACAAACAACCAUCAGCAUUAACUUCCUCUUACCAGACAUCACCAACACAAUUGAAGAAUUCACACUAAGUCUUCUGUGUUCACUCUUGAUUUCUGGGCCCAACUCUCUUUUACAAAGCCUUGAUUGAAUCUGGCCUUGGCACAGACUUUUCUCCUGAUGUUGGAUAUAAUGGCUACAUAAGGGAGGCCUGCUUCAGAGUCGACCUCCAAGGGAUUGUGGAGAAAGACAUUGAGACCAUCAGGUGACUCAUAGACAAAACAAUUGAUGAAGUAGUUGAGAAAAGAUUUGAAGAUGAUCAAAUUGAAGCUUUACUUCAUAAAAUUGAAAUACAGAUGAAACAUCAGUCUACCAGCUUCAUAUUGACUCUGACAUCAUACAUAGCUUCUUGCUGGAACCAUGAUGGGAACCCUGUGGAGCUCUUGAAGUGGGAAAUCAGUUGGCUAAAUUCAGACAGCGCCUGCAGAAAAAUCCAAAAUUUUUGCAAGAAAAAGUAAAACAUUAUUUUAAGAAUAAUCAGCAUAAGCUGACUUUAUCAAUGAGGCCGGAUGACAAGGGUCAUGAGAAGCAAGCACAGGUAGAAGCCACAGAGCUCAAGCAGAAGGUUGAGACUUUGUCCCCCAGAGACAGGCAGCAGAUCUACAAGAAAGGUUUAGAAUUACGGAAUCAACAAAGCAAACCUCAAAAUGCGUCUUGUCUGCCAGUGUUGAAAGUUUCAGAUAUUGAGUCCACUGUACCUAUCAAGAAGUUGGAAGUGGUCCUGACAGUUGGAGAUAUCCCUGUUCAGUACUGCGCCCAGCCCACCAAUGGUGUGGUAUAUUUCUGGGCCUUCUCCAGUCUGAACACGCUCCCUGAGGAGCUGAGACCCUAUGUGCCCCUUUUCUGCAGCAUCCUCACCAAGCUGGGCUGUGACCUUCUUGACUACCAGGAGCAGGCUCAGCAAAUAGAACUGAAGACCAGAGGAAUGACCGCUUCUCCCCAUGUGCUCCCUGACAACUUGCAUAUGGACACCUACGAGCAGGGUGUGCUUUUCUCCUCUCUCUGCCUGGACCGAAACCUGACAGACAGAUGCAUUUAUGGAGUGAAAUAUUUAACAACCCAUGCUUUGAGGAAGAACACUUCAAAGUGCUGGUGAAGAUGACUACAUGCAUUUCUCUUCCCUGAGGAAAGGGUAUCUGCCUCACCAUUGCUGAAGAGAGAGACGAGAGACUGACAGCCAAACAGAGCAAUGGGUAAAAUGGUCUCUAGUGACAUGUUAGAAAGAUUUUUGUACUUAAUUAAAGAUAACAUGGCAUUAAAAAAAUAUUCAUCAUGACCAAGUGGAAUUUAUCCCAGGAGUGCAAGGAUAGUUGAACACACACAAGUCUAUGAAUAUGAUACAUCAUACGUAUCAUAAUGAAAGACGAAAACCAUAUGAUCAUUUCAAUUGAUACCAGAAAAGCAUUUGUUAGUAUUUAACAUCUCUUCAUGUUAAAAGAAAAACCUCAAAGAAUUGGAUAUAGAAGGAACAUACAUCAACAUAAUAAAAGCCAUAUAUAACAGACCGACAGCUAUUAUCAUACUGAAUGGGGAAAAAUUGAAAGUCUUUUCUCUAAGAUCGGAAACACAACAAGGAUGCACACUUUUGUCACUGUUAUUAAACAUAUUACUGGAAGUCCUAGUUAGAGCAAUCAGAGAAGAGAAAGAAAU